GGACAGUCCAAUUUGACUCCAGUUUUAAAAAAUGAAUAAAGUACUUUUCUUCGUCGUAAUUGCUGCAGCCGCAUCGACCUGUUUGGCUGAUCGCAGUGAUACGGUGUACUCAGCAUUGGAGAAAAGACACUGUGAAGAAAAAAGCUGGAAGUAUGUCCAGCGGUACUUCAAUGGUACUCUCGAAAUCGAUGGAACUUCUAAACUUAACACCCUUAAAGGCGAUUUUUUCUUGUGUGAACACGGAUAUUUUAUAGUGGAGCGUGCCAAAUUUGUGUUCUUGCAGGAUGACACAAACAACGUGUAUUUCAUAUACAGUCUAUGGCGCCGAGUUGUGUUCAUUAGGAAACUAUCUAGAAGAAAUGUGUUUUUCGUGAUAAGAGUUUGGAUCAUAAAUCACUUUUCCUAACCACUAGAACGGAAAAUGUAAAACUAAAGCCACUACUAUACUUUUUAACUUCUUAGGAUUAUUAAUGAUAAAUGAUAAUGAUAAAAAAAUAUUAAAAAUAAGUGGUUGUUCUACAAAUAAAGACUUUUAAAAUCA